AUCAGGCUGACGAGUCUUAAAUAGGACGAAACGCACGUCAAAUCGGAU
rfam:Schistosoma mattheei strain Denwood, Zambia genome assembly, scaffold: SMTD_scaffold0000735